rnacentral:rRNA from 1 species
UACGUAGGGUGCGAGCGUUAAUCGGAAUUACGUGGCGUAAAGCGUGCGCAGGCGGUUUUGCAAGCCGGAUGUGAAAUCCCCGGGCUCAACCUGGGAAUGGCAUUCGGGACUGCAAGGCUGGAGUGCGGCAGAGGAGACUGGAAUUCCUGGUGUAGCAGUGAAAUGCGUAGAUAUCAGGAGGAACAGCCGGUGGCGAAGGCGGGUCUCUGGGCCGUUACUGACGCUGAGGCGCGAAAGCAUGGGGAGCGAACGGG